rnacentral:lncRNA from 1 species
UUCGUGGUAUGCACACAUGUGCAUGCACGCACAAACCUAUAUAUUGUCAACGAAGCCUGGCUCUUAAGUAGACGUGACUGCACAUGCUUCAAACCCGUGCCUUCCGAAAUAAAGCAGCUUGCCUUUUGCACGACCUACUAGGAGGUUCCCUGGCGCCGGAGGCGCCGUGUCACACCACGAGGGACAACGCGCCUCACGAACCAGCACGCUGCACGACCAACACACACUUCGACCUAUGCCCCCCUUCAAAAUGUUUAUGAAAAUUAAACGAGCCGAAGGCGAGCAGGAGGUUCCCUGGCGCCGGAGGCGCCGUGUCACACCACGAGGGACAACGCGCCGCACGAACCAGCACGCUGCACGACCAACACACACUUCGACCUAUGCCCCCCCUUCAAGAUGUUUAUGAAAAUUAAACGAGUCGAAGGCGAGCAGGAGGUUCCCUCGCGCCGGAGGCACCGUGUCACAUCACGGGGGACAACGCGCCGCACGAACCAGCACGCUGCACAACCAACACACACUUCGACCUAUGCCCCCCUUCAAGAUGUUUAUGAAAAUUAAACGAGCCGAAGGUGAGCAGGAGGUUCCCUCGCGCCGGAGGCGC